AUGUGGCCAAGUUGUAAGGCAACGGGUUUUGGUCCCGCUAUUCGGAGGUUCGAAUCCUUCCGU
rnacentral:tRNA from 1 species